AGGCUGCAACUCGCCUGCAUGAAGUCGGAAUUGCUAGUAAUCGCAGAUCAGCAUGCUGCGGCGAAUACGUUCCCGGGCCUUGUACACACCGCCCGUCACACCAUGGGAGUCGGUAACACCCAAAGUUGGUAGCCUAACCGCAAGGAGGGCGCCGCCUAAGGUGGGAUUGAUGACUGGGGUGAAGUCGUAACAAGGUAGC
rnacentral:rRNA from 1 species